CAAAAACCUCUCAAAUUUUCUCUCUCUAAUCUCUUAAGAUCUAAACUCAUUCUCUCAAAUUUCUUCAAGAACACCAACAAAUUCUUCAAGAGUAUUGAUCACAAGAAUGAACAAGACUUAAGGAACUUGAUCGAUCUUGUUUCUCUCUCGCAAGCACUGAUAUCUGCCGCUAUCACCUCCAACCUCCGGCGAACCGCCAAACUUCUCUCCACCGUCACGCGUCGAGAGAGCCUCCCGUCGGCCAAAAACUCUCUUCUGUCACCGUCGAUUGAUGCGAUUAUUCCCUCUGUCGCUUCCUCGCGAUUCCGCCGCGGCUAG